CCUACGGGAGGCAGCAGUGGGGAAUAUUGGACAAUGGGCGCAAGUCUGAUCCAGCCAUACCGCGUGUGUGAAGAAGGCCCUAGGGUUGUAAAGCACUUUAAGUUGGGAAGAAAAGUUAUUGGUUAAUACCCAAUGACCGUGACAUUACCUUCAGAAUAAGGACCGGCUAAUUCCGUGCCAGCAGCCGCGGUAAUACGGAAGGUCCAAGCGUUAAUCGGAAUUACUGGGCGUAAAGCGCGCGUAGGUGGUUUAUUAAGUUGGAUGUGAAAUCCCCGGGCUCAACCUGGGAACUGCAUCCAAAACUGAUUCACUAGAGUACGAUAGAGGGAGGUAGAAUUCACAGUGUAGCGGUGGAAUGCGUAGAUAUUGUGAAGAAUACCAAUGGCGAAGGCGGCCUCCUGGAUCUGUACUGACACUGAGGUGCGAAAGCGUGGGUAGCGAACAGGAUUAGAUACCCUGGUAGUCCACGCCGUAAACGAUGUCAACUAGCUGUUGGAAAACUAUGUUUUUCAGUGGCGCAGCUAACGUAGUAAGUUGACCGCCUGGGGAGUACGGCCGCAAGGCUAAAACUCAAAUGAAUUGACGG
rnacentral:rRNA from 1 species